AAAAAUCCCAGAGGAGAUAACAUUAUCAAGAAAGUGGUUUUCUUUUCAGGGAUGCUCACUUGUACUCUACAUAUGUUGACUCCAGUGAUUUCCUAAAAUGUAGGAACUUGAUUGAAUAAUUUGUGAUGAUGAGGAACCACAUUCUUACUCUGGAAGUGGGUCAGCC
rnacentral:snRNA from 1 species